UACGUAGGGUGCAGGCGUUAAUCGGAAUUACUGGGCGUAAAGCGUACGCAGGCGGUUUGCUAAGACAGGUGUGAAAUCCCCGGGCUUAACCUGGGAACUGCGCUUGUUACUGGCAAGCUAGAGUGUGGCAGAGGGGGGUAGAAUUCCAGGUGUAGCAGUGAAAUGCGUAGAUAUCUGGAGGAAUACCGAUGGCGAAGGCAGCCCCCUGGGUUAACACUGACGGUCAUGUACGAAAGCGUGGGGAGCAAACAGG
rnacentral:rRNA from 1 species